UGGGGAAUAUUGGACAAUGGGCGCAAGCCUGAUCCAGCCAUACCGCGUGGGUGAAGAAGGCCUUCGGGUUGUAAAGCCCUUUUGUUGGGAAGGAAAUCCUAUCGGUUAAUAACCGGUGGGGAUGACGGUACCCAAAGAAUAAGCACCGGCUAACUUCGUGCCAGCAGCCGCGGUAAUACGAAGGGUGCAAGCGUUACUCGGAAUUACUGGGCGUAAAGCGUGCGCAGGCGGUUGUGUAAGUCAGAUGUGAAAUCCCCGGGCUCAACCUGGGAAUUGCAUUUGAGACUGCACGGCUAGAGUGUGGUAGAGGGAUGCGGGAUUUCUGGUGUAGCAGUGAAAUGCGUAGAGAUCAGAAGGAACAUCCGUGGCGAAGGCGGCAUCCUGGGCCAACACUGACACUGAGGCACGAAAGCGUGGGGAGCAAACA
rnacentral:rRNA from 1 species